rnacentral:lncRNA from 1 species
AUGCUCUAUGUCUCUCCCUCUCUCUGUCUAGUGUGUCUCUCCUGCCUUGCCUACCUUUCUUUCUCUUCAACCUCCCUCUCUCCCUUCCUCUCUCCCUCCCUCUCUCUUUCUCUCUGUCUCUCUCUGUUUCUCUAUCUGUCUCCCUCUCUGUCUAUGUCCUGCAUCUCCCUCUCUCUGUCUCUCUGUGUCUCGCUCUCUGUCUCUCUUUGGCUCUGUCUGACCCUUUGUCUCAUCUCUCUGUCUCUCUCUCACUUUCUGUUUCUCUCUAUCCCUGUCUCUCUGUCUCUCUCCCUCUUUCCAUCUCUGUCUCUCUCUGCCUCUAUCUCUCUGUCUCUCUCUGUCUCUAUCUCUGUCUGUCUCUCCCUCUCUCUGUCUCCCCCUCCCUCUGCCACUGCGUCUCUCUGUCUCUCUCUGUCUGUCUAUCUCUCUGUGUGUGUGUCUCUCUUUCUGUCUCUUUCUCUCACUCUCUGUCUCUAUCUCUCUGUAAAUCUAUCUGUCUCUGUCCCUCUCUCACUUUCUACCUCUGUAUCUCUCUGUGUGUCUUUCUCUCUCUCCUUUCCUCGCUGUCUCUCUCACUGCAUCUCUCUUUCUGUCUCUAUCUCUGACUCUCUCUGUCACUCUCUAUCUCUCUGUAUCUUUUUCUCUCUUUCUCUUUCUGUCUCUCUUUUUCUGUGUCUGUGUCUGUGUCUCUGUUUCUCUAUUUCUCUCUCUCUCUCUCUCUCUCUCUCUCUCUCUCUCUCUCUCUCUCUCGUUCUGUCUAUUUCUCUAUCUCUCUAUAUAUCCAGGCAUUUAUCUAUGUAUCUGUUGAUCUAUCUAUCUAUCUUUCUAUCUCUCUCUCUAUCUAUGUAUCUAUCUAACUAUCUUUCUAUCUAUCUAUCUAUCAAUGUAUCUGUCUGUCUUUCUGUCUCUCUGUUUAUCUCUUUAUCUUUCUCUUUCUCUCUCUGUCUCUCUCUCUUUCUCUCUCUCUCACUCUAUAUAUCCGUCAAUCUAUCUAUCCAUCCAACCAUCCAUCCAUCCAUCUGUCCAUCCAUCCAUCCGUCCAUCUAUCUUUCUAUCUAUCUAUCUAUC